GUGGGGAAUUUUGGACAAUGGGCGCAAGCCUGAUCCAGCAAUGCCGCGUGCAGGAAGAAGGCCUUCGGGUUGUAAACUGCUUUUGUACGGAACGAAACGGUCCUGGCUAAUAUCCGGGGCUAAUGACGGUACCGUAAGAAUAAGCACCGGCUAACUACGUGCCAGCAGCCGCGGUAAUAAGUAGGGUGCGAGCGUUAAUCGGAAUUACUGGGCGUAAAGCGUGCGCAGGCGGUGCUGUAAGACAGGCGUGAAAUCCCCGGGCUCAACCUGGGAAUUGCGCUUGUGACUGCAGCGCUGGAGUGCGGCAGAGGGGGAUGGAAUUCCGCGUGUAGCAGUGAAAUGCGUAGAUAUGCGGAGGAACACCGAUGGCGAAGGCAAUCCCCUGGGCCUGCACUGACGCUCAUGCACGAAAGCGUGGGGAGCAAACAGGAUUAGAAACCCUGGUAGUCC
rnacentral:rRNA from 1 species